GGACACUUUAAGAUUUCUAAA
rnacentral:piRNA from 1 species